rnacentral:rRNA from 2 species
AAUCCGGUUGAUCCUGCCGGACCUGACUGCUAUCGGAUUGAUACUAAGCCAUGCGAGUCAUUGUAGCAAUACAAGGCAGACGGCUCAGUAACACGUAGUCAAUCUAACCUAUGGACGGGGAUAACCUCGGGAAACUGAGAAUAAUACCCGAUAGAUCAUUAUGCCUGGAAUGGUUUAUGGUCCAAAUGAUUUAUCGCCAUAGGAUGGGACUGCGGCCUAUCAGUUUGUUGGUGAGGUAAUGGCCCACCAAGACUAUUACAGGUACGGGCUCUGAGAGGAGAAGCCCGGAGAUGGGUACUGAGACACGGACCCAGGCCCUAUGGGGCGCAGCAGGCGAGAAAACU